GCUGGGUGCAGUGGUGCACGCCUGUAAUUCUAGCAGCUUGGGAGGCUGAGACAGGAGAAUCGCGAGUUCAAAGCCAGCCUCAGCAACGGUGAGGCGCUAAACAACUCAGUGAGACCCUGUCUCUA
rnacentral:sRNA from 1 species